rnacentral:rRNA from 1 species
UACGUAGGAGCCAAGCGUUGUCCGGAUUUACUGGGCGUAAAGAGCGCGCAGGCGGUCGUGCAAGUCGCGUGUGAAAGCCCCCGGCUCAACUGGGGAGGGUCACGCGAUACUGUUCGACUCGAAGGCAGGAGAGGGAAGCAGAAUUCCCGGUGUAGUGGUGAAAUGCGUAGAGAUCGGCAGGAACACCCAGGGGGAAACCAGCCGGCUGGGACGUGCUGACGCUCAGGGGCGAAAGCGUGGGGAGCGAACCGG